rnacentral:misc_RNA from 1 species
AUUGAACCGAUGAGAAAGUAAAUCUGUGAUCUAAUUCGACAGCGAGUGGAAGUUGGUGUAAGUUCCACGUUUUAGCCAUAGAGGGACACUUUUUAGGUCGCAUUGUGCGCGCAAAUACCCCGUUACGGUAUGUAUGAGAACCAAACAAGGUGGUACCGCGCAAAAAAGAUGCGCCCUUGAU